rnacentral:rRNA from 1 species
GACGAACGCUGGCGGCAUGCCUAAUACAUGCAAGUCGAGCGAACAGAUGAAGUGCUUGCACUUCUGACGUUAGCGGCGAACGGGUGAGUAACACGUAAGGAAUCUACCUAUAAGCGGGGGAUAACAUUCGGAAACGGGUGCUAAUACCGCAUAAUAUCUUCUUCCGCAUGGAAGAAGAUUGAAAGACGGCUCUGCUGUCACUUAUCGAUGACCUUGCGGUGCAGUAGGUAGUUGGUGGGGUAACGGCCUAACAAGACGCUGAUGCAUAGCCGACCCGAGAGGGCGAUCGGCUACAUUGGGACUGAGACACGGCCCAAACUCCUACGGGAGGCAGCAGUAGGGAAUCUUCCGCAAUGGGCGAAAGCCUGACGGAGCAAUGCCGCGUGAGUGAAGAAGGCCUUCGGGUCGUAAAACUCUGUUAUAAGAGAAGAACACAUUGUAGAGUAACUGCUACAGUCUUGACGGUAUCUUAUCAGAAAGCCACGGCUAACAACGUGCCAGCCGCCGCCGUAA